CCUCCUUCCUCUCUAAACAGUUUCUCUCACCGACCUCUCUCCCCCCUCCUCGAUUUUUCUCUUCAUCUCUCCCUCUCUUCUUCUCCUUCACGUCGAUGCCACCACUAAGCCGACAACCCUCCCCCGACGUUGGACGACGACCAGCGUGCCACGCCAACCACCAUCGACGUUUAAAUCUUCCCUACCAUCAAUCGAACUCCAGCUGUUCUGUGUCAUUCCAUCCGAGAUCGUUGAGUCGAGCCAGCUUGGAGUCGCACCGUGCUACUUACUGCCCAUAGAUCGUCGUGCUAGGCCACCCUCUGCCAUCGCUAGCCUCACUGGAUUUGGAAGUUGAGAUUGAAGAGUCGUGCUGAUUAGCUGCUGUCCAGCGGGUUCGAUAAGGAUUUUGUCAAGAUUUAGACUAAAUUGAAGUGGGGAAAGCGUAAAAUUCCGGGGGAUCGAGUAAUUGAUUGUAGUGGCCAAGGACCAAGCAUUGGUUGUGCUUUCUUGUCAUUGAUUGUAGUUUCCCAUUCUUGUUGUAUGUAUCUACUUAUGGGAUCUAUUGCAUUAUUGGGUGAUUAGAAGAAGCGAUAGUCACGAUGAGAAUUUGAGUUUGAGAGGUCUUUUAUUAAAUUGUAAUUCUUUUGUAACUAGUUCGUAGUUGAAUAUAAACUCUGAAUGAGAUUCUGAAAUUGUCUGGAUGAGUGUGUGGUGAGACACACUCGAUGA